rnacentral:rRNA from 1 species
UGGGGAAUAUUGGACAAUGGGCGAAAGCCUGAUCCAGCCAUGCCGCGUGUGUGAAGAAGGUCUUCGGAUUGUAAAGCACUUUAAGUUGGGAGGAAGGGCAUUAACCUAAUACGUUAGUGUUUUGACGUUACCGACAGAAUAAGCACCGGCUAACUCUGUGCCAGCAGCCACGGUAAUACAGAGGGUGCAAGCGUUAAUCGGAAUUACUGGGCGUAAAGCGCGCGUAGGUGGUUUGUUAAGUUGGAUGUGAAAUCCCCGGGCUCAACCUGGGAACUGCAUUCAAAACUGACUGACUAGAGUAUGGUAGAGGGUGGUGGAAUUUCCUGUGUAGCGGUGAAAUGCGUAGAUAUAGGAAGGAACACCAGUGGCGAAGGCGACCACCUGGACUAAUACUGACACUGAGGUGCGAAAGCGUGGGGAGCAAACA